UCCAUUUUUAGAGUUUCUUCGCAACCCUUUCAUAUAUUUUCAUGCCCCACUUUUGGGUUACGACACACAGGUUGAGAAACAUUAGACUAGAUGGCCUCCUGAGGCCCCUUCCAACCCUCAUUGUCUCUGAUUCCUUACCUGCUGAGACCCAGAGGUUUCAAAGCCAAAAGGGACCACUGGAUUCUCCAAUAUAGCCUGCUGUAUAACAUGGGCCAGGGAAUUUCAUUCAGUUACUUCUGUAUUGAGCCCCAUAACUUAUGUUGAUAAUAGUAUUUCUUUCUGAAAGGCAUCCAGUGUUGAUCUGAGGAUUUCAACAGCAGAACAGUUCACUGUGAACUGGUAUGAUGGACCUGAGUGAAAUGUUUGUCUUCAGUAGUGCUCAUUCACAUCUGUUUCUGAGCCUGGAGUCAGUAGAGGGGUGGUGAACUCUCUGGGGGGCUGCAUCCUGCUGUAAAGUUUCUGUUUUCCACCAGACCUGAAUAACAGCAAGGUUCUGCUAUAGAAGGAUGGCCCAUUUAUCAUGUUACCCAUUCCUUUGUAACUUUUGCAUUGUAGUAGUACCUCUGGGGUGCAUACUGACAUGAUGAAUCCUCAUGUUCAAGGUGUACAACUAAGUGUUACUAAGUAUGAAACAUAAAACGAUAGAGUCAGAGUUGGAAGGGACCUCAAAGGUUACUUAGCCAACCCCCCAGCGCAAAUACAGGAUGUGCUAGUCUGUUUCAAAACCUUUUCUGGAGGAGGUUCCUUAGCUUCCCUAAGUUGCCUUUAUUACUGUACUUAGAUAGGAAGUUCUUCCCGAGAUUUAAUCUGAAUCUGCUCUGCUGUCAUGUAAACCCGUUGCCUUGUGGCCUGCCCUCUCUGGCAAGGCAGAACAAUAUUUCUCCAACAGUUUUUGGCAGCCUUUCAAAUAUUUGAAGACUGCUAUCUAAUAUUUGAAGCCGUGCAAAUAUUUGAAGACCCAUAAUCUCCUUUUCUCCUGACUAACCAUAUCUAGAUCUCUCCAUCAUUCCUUAUACGGCUUGCCUUCUAAAACCUUUGUUAUCUUUGUUGCUUAUCUCUGGAUGCUUCAUGGUCUCUAUAUCCUUCUUAAACUGUGGUGCUUAGAAUUUGACACAAUACUCUGGCUGAGGCCCAACUAGCACCAAGUAGAGUAGUAUUAUUACCUCCCAUGUUUUGCAUAUAAUACUUUUGCUUUGUUAUUUUUUUGUAACAGCAUCACAUGGCCAACUCAUGUUCAUCUUGUGAUUGACCAUAACUGCAGCUCUUUUGUGGGUAUGCCACUGCCUAGCUAGUUAUCCCCAAUUUUGUACAUUUGCAUUUGACUUUCUUUCUCUUGUGUGUCACACCUUACACUUGCCUUUGUUGAAUUUCAUCUAGUAAUUGAUAGCCCAGUUCUCCAUUUUGGCAAGAUUCCUUUGAACUUUAAAUCUGUUCUCCAAAGUGUUGGCAACCUCCCACCCAGUUUUGUAUCAGUCUGUACCAAAGUCAUUAAUAAAGAUGUUAAACAUCACUGGGCCCCGAAAACAAAUCCCUGUGGAAUUCCACUUUGAGACUUCCUGCCUUUACAACACGGAUCCAUUCACAGUUUCUCUUUGCUCAUGGUUAUUCAACCCUGAACAUAUCUACUUCACAAUAAUUUUUUCAAGCCCACAUUUCUACAAUUUACUCAUAAGGAUCUGGAUCCUUCUUCUGGAUCUUGAUUCACAUAUUCACACUCUCUUUUUGUGUGAUACUGUACCAAAAGACAAAAGUCUGUAUAUUAUGACCACUGCAUUCCUCUCUGCAUCUGUCAAGAUGUUGGAUGGUCAUUCAUUCAUGCAUUCCCCUCACCCACUUAACUAGUUAUUCUGUCAAAGAACAAAAUCAAGUUGGUUGGGUAUGAUUUAUCCAUAAUAAAUUCAUGCAGGCUCCUAGUGAUCAUCCCUUUGUCUUUCAGGUCUUCACGAAUAGACUGUGUUAUAAUUUGCUCUUGGAAGAUGGGCUGACUGGUUUAUAAAUGCAUUGUUUUCUUUGUGGCCCUUUUUAAAGAUGAGCACUAGGUUAGCCUUUCUUCAGUCCUCUGGGAUUUCACCUGCCAUCCAUGACUUUGUAAAUAUUAUUACCAAUAGCUCUGGGAUUUUUACAGCCAGUUUCUGAAGCAUCCUGGGAUAAAUGUCACCAGGGCUUGCUAAUUUAAAUGGAUUCAAACUUGUCAAAAGUUCUUUAUUUAUUAUGAUUUGAAGCCCUUUCCCUUCGUUGUUUAAAUUCAUUUUGUUAGUUGUCUGAUUGGAGGGGGGAGGAUGCUUUGUUUUCUUUUUUAAAAGUAGUCAGGUGCCAGCUCUGCUUUCUUUGUAUCUUCCAUUAAUAGCAUACCCACACCAUUGAACAUUGGAUCUACAGUUUCCCUAGUCUUUCUUUUCUGUCUGACCUUCCUUGCCAGUUGCAUCUCAUUUUUCACCUUUGCUUUCCUGAUUUUGUCCUUAUAUAUUUUGCUAUAUCCCUUGGUAUACUUCCUUAGUGACUCACCCUGGGCCUUUUUCUCCUUUCACCUAUUAGGAUAAAACUGGUUAAGACAAUCCCUUAGGAACUGCCAUUCCUGAUCUGGCCCAGGGUCCAUGUGACAGGGACAAGCUAUUUCAGAGAAAGUCUUAUUAACUACAUGAUUGCAUAUUUCAUACAAUAACAGCAUGGAAGUGAGCAUUCUGGAGGAAGGACUGCAUUUGGCUUUGAGAGAAGAGUUGAAGUGUUGUAUUUUUCUCUAGAGAUCUGGUUGUAAUAGUCCAGGAUAUAGUCUGGGUUCAUCAGAUUUUGUGUGUCAAUGCUAAAGUGGAUUAGGGUGGUAACUGCUCCACAUGUCACAUACCAUUUGCUAUGUUCAUAGAUAACACACUCCCACUCCCUCCUACAUGGUAUACAUGAUAGAGUGUCAGUACAAAGAGGACAGGAAGGGCAUGGCUGUGUAUUUUCACAUUACUUCUAUUCCUUUUUCACAGAUGGAUGAAAGAACCCUGGAUCUAUGCAGCAGCAGCCUUUUGGCUUAUUUUUCCUUUUUUGGUUGACAUUUUACUGAGCAUUUUAUUAUUUUAGAUAAAAAUCAUCUUUAAUUU